GGACAAGAAUCGACCAAAUAUGGACAACUAGAGGACUGGCACCUAAGAUCAGAAAAGUGGAAAUCUGUCCAAAGACUUGCUCCGACCAUAAUGCUUUGAAAGUAGAAUUGAGACUUACUCCAACCGGUUCUUUCAGAUGGAAAAUGAAUGACACCCUACUAAGAGAUCAGGAGAUUGUGAAGAAGGCCCAAAAAACCUUAAAGGACUACUUUGAAAUCAAUUUGAACACUUCGGUGGAAAAGAGAACAAUCUGGGACGCAAGUAAAGCUGUAAUGAGGGGGUUUCUGAUACAACAGAACACAAUCAAGAAAAAACUUUGGAAUGGGAAAAAAGAUAGGAUAUUAGAGAAGAUAAGAGAAGGAGAGAAAAAAUUGAGAUUAAAACCAAAAUCAAAAGAGGUUCUAAGAGAAAUCAAAUUCCACCAAGCUCAAUAUGCGAAAUUGAUAAAUCAAGAAGUGGAAUGGAAAAUCAAACAAAUGAAACAAAGAUCAUUUGAAUCGGCAAAUAAAUGUGGAAAACUGCUAGCAUGGCAGUUGAAAAAGAGACAAAAAUUGAACUUUGUCACUAAUCUAGAGGUGGAAGGGAGAAACAUUCAGAAACCAGAAGAAAUUAGAAAGUGUUUCCAGAAAUAUUUCAAACACUUGAUACUCAAGGGCCUCAGGAAGUGUCUGAGAUAGAUCAAUUUUUAAAAGUUAACGGUCUAUCCAAACUAUCUCAGGAGAAGAGGACAAUCUUAAAUAAUAGAAUAACACGACAGGAAAUAGAGGGUGCCAUUCAGAAUAUGCAACUAGGCAAAUCUCCAGGCCCAGAUGGACUUACCUCCAAGUACUAUAAGACACUAAAAGACUAUUUGAUACAACCACUAAUGGAGGUCUGUAACCAGAUUAUGGAGGGGAGGAGGGCACCGGAAACGUGGAAAGAAGCUUUCAUCACAUUGAUUCCUAAAUUGGAAUCUGAAAAGACUCAGCUUAAGAACUACCGUCCCAUCUCACUCCUAAAUGUGGAUUACAAAAUUUUUGCUGAUAUUUUGGCGAGCAGACUUAAAAAAUACUUAACGAAGUAAUUCAUAAGGACCAGGCAGGCUUUCUCCCAGGGAGACAUCUUUUUGAUAAUACCAGGAACAUUAUUGAUAUUUUGGAACUUUUACAAACUAAUAUCAAUACGAAAGCUGUGUUAAUUUUCAUCGAUGCGGAGAAGGCCUUUGAUAAUAUUUCUUGGAUAUUUAUGAAGAGAAACCUGGAAGGGAUGGGAGUGGGACGGGGGUUUGAAAAUGGAAUAGAAGCAAUUUAUUCUGAGCAAAAAGCUAAACUGAUAGUGAACAAUGUGGUGACAGAUGAGUUCAAAAUUGAAAAAGGGACACGACAAGGGUGCCCCCUAUCCCCUCUUUUAUUUAUUUCAGUCCUGGAGGUGUUACUGAACAUGAUUAGGAAGGACCGGUUGAUACAAGGAAUACAGGUCGGAGUGAAACAAUAUAAAUUGAAAGCUUUUGCAGAUGAUUUGGUUUUAACAUUACAGGAGCCAGAAUCUAGUACAAAAAGAGUAUUAGAAUUGAUUCAUGAGUUUGGUCGGGUGGCGGGAUUUAAGUUGAAUAAGCAAAAACUAAGGUUUUGGGGAAAAACUUGACACCCUCAGAAAUAGAUGGGUUUCAGAAGGAAACAGAACUAAGUGUGGUAAAAAAAGUAAAAUACCUAGGGGUUCACUUGUCAGCGAAAAAUUUGAAUCUAUUUAAAGACAACUAUGAAAAAUGUUGGCUGGAAAUCAAAAAAGAUUUGGAAAUCUGGUCAAGAUUGAAACUUUCCUUGUUGGGUCGAAUUGCAGCUAUAAAAAUGAAUGUAUUGCCGAAAAUGUUAUUUUUGUUUCAAACCCUACAGAUUGUGGACAGAGUGGAAUGUUUUGGAAAGUGGCAGAAGGAUAUAUCUAAGUUUGUUUGGCAGGGCAAAAGCCCCGGAUAAAGUUUAAAAUACUAACUGAUUUGAAAGAAAGAGGGGGGUUUGCCCUGCCGGACUUGAGAAUAUAUUAUGAAGCUGCGGCCUUCUGCUGGAUGAAAGAUUGGUUACUUCUUGAGAACACUGAUGUUCUAGAUCUGGAAGGGUUUGAUAAUGCUUUUGGCUGGCAUGCAUAUUUGUGGUACGACAAGGUAAAGGUUCAUAAAAUGUUCAAAAAUCAUAUUGUUAGAAAAUCAAUAUUUAUGGUCUGGACAAAAUACAAGGACUUAUUAGAGGGUAAGACUCCGAGGUGGCUUUCACCAGCAGAGGCCAAGGCCCGGAAAAAACCUAAUAUGGAGGUUGGUUGGCUGAAAUAUGGGGAAAUUAUAGAAAAAGUAGGAGAAACUUGGAGGCUGCAGAGUUAUGAAAAAUUAAAGAAUAAGGUGCAAAAUUGGCUUCACUAUGCUCAAAUUCAAGAGGUUUUCAAGUUGGACAAAAGAAUAGGUUUCCAGGUGGAAAAAUCGAAACUAGAGACAGAAUUGUUGGAACCAAAGACCAAGGUACUUUCGAGAAUGUAUAUCUUGCUGCUUAAAUGGAACACUCAGGAUGAGACAGUCAAAUCAGCCAUGAUAAAAUGGGCUCAGGACAUUGGGUACAACAUUAUGUUUGAAGACUGGGAAAGGUUAUGGACCACUGGUAUGAAAUUCACGGCAUGUAAUGCCUUGAAAGAGAAUAUUAUGAAAAUGAUAUACAGGUGGUACAUGACCCCAGUCAAGCUAGCUAAGAUAUAUCAUUUGUCUGAUAAUAAAUGUUGGAAAUGUAAGGAGGCUGAAGGGACAUUCUUUCACCUCUGGUGGACUUGCCCAAAAGUGAAGGCCUUCUGGGAAAUGAUCUAUAAUGAGUUAAAAAAGUGUUUAAGUACACUUUUCCCAAGAAACCAGAGGCCUUCCUACUGGGCAUUGUCGGUCAGAAGGUGUUAAAGAAGGAUAGAACCUUUUUAUGUAUGCAACUACAGCAGCAAGAAUUCUUAUCGCAAAACACUGGAAGACUCAAGAUUUACCCACACUGGAAGAGUGGCAGACGCAAUUGAUGGGCUACAUGGAAUUGGCUGAGAUGACUGCCAGGAUCCGAGAUUUGGAGGAAGAAGCAAUGGAGGAGGAUUGGAAAAAAUUUAAAGAUUAUUUACAAAAAUUUUAUAAGUUAUAUGAAUGUUAAGAAUUCGCAUGAUUAGGGAAAUUCAGCUCCAGCAAUAAGAUUAAGGUAUGGGAAACUAAGCUAUUUUAAUGAAAAGACUAACGUUUAAAAGAACAUUAUAUAUAUUAUUAGUGCAAAUUGACAAUAAGCAUUUUAAACGUAAAUCACAAGUAUUUGAAAGAACAAAAGAAUGCACGAAAUAAGGUUAUAAUUUGCUGAAAAAUUUUAUUGUAAAGAACGCAAGGUGAGGGGGCCGGGGAAGUCCGGUUGGUUAUGGAAAAAUGCUUUGAAAAGAUGAUUUUCUUCUUUUUCUUUCUUUUUUCUGUUAUUUCUUUGUAUAUCUGACCUUGUAUUUCUAUCUGGAAAAAUGC
rnacentral:lncRNA from 1 species